AAACUUAUGAUGAAUAAAGCCAGGAACUCUUGCUUAUUUUCUGUCCUCCCUCUGCUCCUGUCACUAACUACUUCUGUAAACAUAACUUCCCAACUUCUACUCCAACUUUAAAGCAUCUGGUUCCUUAAAUAAACAGGCCCUGUAGAGAGGCCGUGUUGUAUGGGGUGUCAGCUCUGGGAAGAAUGCGUGUGUUUGUUUGCUGGCUCUGGCAGGGUUGAGUCCAAGCUGACAGGACUGAGUGUGCCUGUCAGAGGCUUCAGGGAGCUGCCGCUGAAGACCUCGGCCUGUUGUUGUGAAUCGCCAGACCUUUGUAACACCCGGAAGUCUGAAGCAUGUGUUUGAUGAUCUCAGAGGCUCAGUAUCCUUGUCCUGGGUUGGAGAUAGCACUGGGGUCAUUCUAGUCUUGACUACCUUCCAUGUACCACUGGUAAUUAUGACUUUUGGACAGUCCAAGCUAUAUCGAAGUGAGGAUUAUGGGAAGAACUUUAAGGAUAUUACAGAUCUCAUCAAUAACACCUUUAUUCGGACUGAAUUUGGCAUGGCUAUUGGUCCUGAGAACUCUGGAAAGGUGGUGUUAACAGCAGAGGUGUCUGGAGGAAGUCGUGGAGGAAGAAU
rnacentral:lncRNA from 1 species